rnacentral:rRNA from 1 species
GAUGAACGCUGGCGGCGUGCUUAACACAUGCAAGUCGAACGAAGCAUUUAAGACAGAUUACUUCGGUUUGAGGUCUUUUAUGACUGAGUGGCGGACGGGUGAGUAACGCGUGGGUAACCUGCCUCAUACAGGGGGAUAGCAGCUGGAAACGGCUGGUAAUACCGCAUAAGCGCACAGUACCACAUGGUACAGUGUGAAAAACUCCGGUGGUAUGAGAUGGACCCGCGUCUGAUUAGCUUGUUGGCGGGGUAACGGCCCACCAAGGCGACGAUCAGUAGCCGACCUGAGAGGGUGACCGGCCACAUUGGGACUGAGACACGGCCCAGACUCCUACGGGAGGCAGCAGUGGGGAAUAUUGCACAAUGGAGGAAACUCUGAUGCAGCGACGCCGCGUGAGUGAAGAAGUAGUUCGCUAUGUAAAGCUCUAUCAGCAGGGAAGAUAGUGACGGUACCUGACUAAGAAGCACCGGCUAAAUACGUG